AACGAACGCUGGCGGCAUGCCUAACACAUGCAAGUCGAACGAGACCUUCGGGUCUAGUGGCGCACGGGUGCGUAACGCGUGGGAACCUGCCCUUAGGUUCGGAAGAACUCCCCGAAAGGGGUGCUAAUACCGGAUAAUGUCUUCGGACCAAAGAUUUAUCGCCUUUGGAUGGGCCCGCGUUGGAUUAGCUAGUUGGUAGGGUAAAAGCGUACCAAGGCGACGAUCCAUAGCUGGUCUAAGAGGAUGAUCAGCCACACUGGGACGGAGACACGGUGCAGACGACUGGAGGACGAGCGAGUGGGGGAUACAGGCAAGUGGGGGGUGUGAAGAAGGACUUAGGACUCGUAAGUAAUGAACGAUGGGAGGUAGUACAGUAAUUUAACACCUGACUGUUAUGACGAUACCAACAGAAUAAGCUCCGGCUAACUCCGUG
rnacentral:rRNA from 1 species